rnacentral:rRNA from 1 species
UACGUAGGGUGCAAGCGUUUGUCCGGAAUUAUUGGGCGUAAAGAGCUCGUAGGCGGUCUGUCGCGUCGGAUGUGAAAACCCAGGGCUCAACCCUGGGCCUGCAUUCGAUACGGGGCAGACUAGAGUUCGGUAGGGGAGACUGGAAUUCCUGGUGUAGCGGUGAAAUGCGCAGAUAUCAGGAGGAACACCGAUGGCGAAGGCAGAUCUCUGGGCCGUAACUGACGCUGAGGAGCGAAAGCGUGGGGAGCGAACAGG